AACGAACGCUGGCGGCAUGCCUAACACAUGCAAGUCGAACGAGACCUCCGUGUCUAGUUGCGCUCGGGUGCGUAACGCGUGGGAACCUGCCCUUAUGUUCGGAAUACUUCCCCUUCAGGGGUGCUAAUACAGGAUAAUGUCUUCUGACCAAAGAUUUAUCGCGUUUGUAUGGGCCCGCGAUGGUUUAGCCUGUUGGUAGUGUAAGAGCCUAUCAAGGCGUCGAUCCUUAGCUGGUAUGAGAGCAAGAGCAGCCACACUUGGGGUCAGAAACGGCCCAGAAUAUUACGGAAUGGAGGAGAGGGGGAUACUGGAAGACGGCGGAAGGCAUGAUCCAGCAAGGCCGGGUGAGUGAUGAUGGCCUUAGGGAAGUGAAGCUCUUUUACACGGGAUGAUAAUGACGGUACCGGGAGAAUAAGCACCGGCUAACUCCGUG
rnacentral:rRNA from 1 species